AGUCGAGGGGUAACAGGAGUAGCUUGCUACUUGCUGACGACCGGCGCACGGGUGCGUAACGCGUAUACAAUCUACCUUUUACAGGAGGAUAGCCUUUAGAAAUGAAGAUUAAUACUCCAUAGUAAGUAACAAUGGCAUCAUUAUUACUUUAAAGCUUCGGUGGUAAAAGAUGAGUAUGCGUUCUAUUAGCUAGUAGGUAUGGUAACGGCAUACCUAGGCAACGAUAGAUAGGGGCCCUGAGAGGGGGAUCCCCCACACUGGUACUGAGACACGGACCAGACUCCUACGGGAGGCAGCAGUGAGGAAUAUUGGACAAUGGAGGCAACUCUGAUCCAGCCAUGCCGCGUGCAGGAAGACUGCCCUAUGGGUUGUAAACUGCUUUUAUACAGGAAGAAACCGCUCUACGUGUAGAGCUCUGACGGUACUGUAAGAAUAAGGAUCGGCUAACUCCGUGCCAGCAGCCGCGGUAAUACGGAGGAUCCAAGCGUUAUCCGGAAUCAUUGGGUUUAAAGGGUCCGUAGGUGGAUAAUUAAGUCAGAGGUGAAAGUUUGCGGCUCAACCGUAAAAUUGCCUUUGAUACUGGUUAUCUUGAGUUAUUAUGAAGUAGUUAGAAUAUGUAGUGUAGCGGUGAAAUGCAUAGAUAUUACAUAGAAUACCAAUUGCGAAGGCAGAUUACUAAUAAUCAACUGACACUGAUGGACGAAAGCGUGGGGAGCGAACAGGAUUAGAUACCCUGGUAGUCCACGCCGUAAACGAUGGUUACUAGCUGUUCGGACUUCGGUCUGAGUGGCUAAGCGAAAGUGAUAAGUAACCCACCUGGGGAGUACGUUCGCAAGAAUGAAACUCAAAGGAAUUGACGGGGGCCCGCACAAGCGGUGGAGCAUGUGGUUUAAUUCGAUGAUACGCGAGGAACCUUACCAGGGCUUAAAUGUAGUGUGACAGGACUAGAGAUA
rnacentral:rRNA from 1 species